rnacentral:sRNA from 2 species
CGCCCGAUAGCGCCGAGCUCCAUCCAUCGUCAGCGGGACACCACCAAGAAACACCUGGAUGGAGGCGGGGGACCCACCGGUCCGCCGAGUUAGAAGGACCCGGGGCUGCGGCCCCUUGGGGUGAAGCCGGAGUCGGAAGCCGACACCGGCCGGGUGACCUCUCCAACCCGAACCCGACAGCUGACCUCGUGGGCGCUCCGACGAGAGGACCA